rnacentral:lncRNA from 1 species
GUCUGUUUCUCAGCCAUAUGCCUUUGCUAAUCCUACCAUGGGCACCAUUAGUACCCUUCAUUCCAGGUGAUCUUUCUAAUACAGCCUUUGUGGCCUUCUGUAUCUUGUUUAUAUUAGUUGGAGUCUAAAUAGUCAGUUUAAGAAAAUAAGCCAAAUUUAUAAAUUAGUUUUCCUUCAUAGCCCAGACCAAGAGUUUGCUGGGCAUUGCCUGUAUCUAGAGACCAAGGGCAAAAUUAAAAGAAAUGUUCUGAUAAAGAUGUGAAGGAAAAAGGAAAAAAAAAUCAUAAAAAAUUUAAAGGCAAUGGAAGUUUUGCCAUUUUGUUUCUCAGGAUGAGGAGUUUGCCCUUGGUGUUUAUCAGCAUAUUCAGCCAGGACGUAGCAGAGCUGUGCUGGACCCACUUAGGGCCGGUGCCACACAAUCUGAAGGUGGGGGCUGAGGUGCCUGCCCCCCCCAGCCUCCUGCUUCUCUUCUCGCGGGGUGCGGCAGUGCCGGUGGGCAGCACGUACCCAGCCGUGCCCNCACCCAGCACCCAGCCGUGCCCACACCCAGCACCCACCAGCGCCGCUUGCCACAGCCAGACGCAGGCCUUCAGGCUGCGGUCCCUCGGGCAGAGCCUCAGGAACCACACGCGUUCUCCUCGGUAACAGCAGCCUGAAUUUCAGGUGCACCAGCCAUCGACAGCUCCCACCACAAUGCUGCCUGCCAGUACAGUUUCUUUGGGACAGAAAGAAAAGAGCUUUGCCAGUUUUCAGUCAACUUACGACACUGCCCUGAUCUCCAGGCCCUGCUCACACACCCUGUAGGACUGACCAAAGCCCGGCCGUGCCUUGCAGCUCCGCGGCAUCGCGGGGGGACGCAUGGCAAGGUGCCUGCCCACCGCCUGCACACCAACAGGACCCCCGCAGGCCCUCAGUGCCCAUCAUGAAGUCUGAGUCUGUCGCUUUGGUGUCAGCAAGUGUCUGCUUCAGGCUUUAUGUACGGAGCCAUCUCUAACACCCUGGCUUGCCCCAGCUGGAGACCAAGGCACCGCGCACCCCUGCGGCCACGCCGUGUGAGGGGCUCUCACGGCAGCUGCGUGCCAGCACUAAGGAGGGAUGUUCUCAAAGCCUGCGGUCAGGUAUCUUGAAGUAAAUCACACAAGGCUGGAGGUAUGCCUUAUACGUCAAUGUAUCUAGUGAGAUGCAAAUUGAAACAUAAGAUUUUUCUCAGUAAUGUACAAUAAAAAUUCAAUGCUUAGCA